AUGGAAGAUGUGCGUUCCAAAAAUAUAGGAGGUACUAGUUUUUGUUAUAUACAUUCUUUCAAUCUCGCCAUGUUGGUACAACAAGCUUGCCAUCUUCUCGAGAAUCCUGAUUCUUUAUGUGCUACUAUUUUAAGAGCAAAGUAUUUUCCUAAUGGUGAUCUGCUGAAUGCAAACUUAAAAAAGGGCCCAUCUUUCACAUGGUAAAGUAUUAUAGCGGGAGUUAAUUCGUUGAAGCAUAAUUAUGUCUGGUGA
rnacentral:rRNA from 1 species